rnacentral:rRNA from 1 species
UACGUAGGGCGCAAGCGUUGUCCGGAAUUAUUGGGCGUAAAGAGCUCGUAGGCGGUCUGUCGCGUCGGAUGUGAAAGCCCGGGGCUUAACCCCGGGUCUGCAUUCGAUACGGGCAGACUAGAGUGUGGUAGGGGAGAUCGGAAUUCCUGGUGUAGCGGUGAAAUGCGCAGAUAUCAGGAGGAACACCGGUGGCGAAGGCGGAUCUCUGGGCCAUUACUGACGCUGAGGAGCGAAAGCGUGGGGAGAGAACAGG